GAUGAACGCUGGCGGCGUGCUUAACACAUGCAAGUCGAACGGUGAAGCCAAGCUUGCUUGGUGGAUCAGUGGCGAACGGGUGAGUAACACGUGAGCAACCUGCCCCGGACUCUGGGAUAAGCGCUGGAAACGGCGUCUAAUACCGGAUAUGAACCACAGCCGCAUGGUUGGUGGUUGGAAGGAUUUUUUGGUUCGGGAUGGGCUCGCGGCCUAUCAGCUUGUUGGUGAGGUAAUGGCUCACCAAGGUGUCGACGGGUAGCCGGCCUGAGAGGGUGAACGGCCACACUGGGACUGAGACACGGCCCAGACUCCUACGGGAGGCAGCAGUGGGGAAUAUUGCACAAUGGGCGGAAGCCUGAUGCAGCAACGCCGCGUGAGGGAUGACGGCCUUCGGGUUGUAAACCUCUUUUAGCAAGGAAGAAGCGAAAGUGACGGUACUUGCAGAAAAAGCGCCGGCUAACUACGUGCCAGCAGCCGCAGUAA
rnacentral:rRNA from 1 species